GGGGACGUAUUAACAUGGCCACGGAUUUGGAAAAAGCUAGAUGCCAUAACACCAAAUAAAUACCUCUUUAAUUUUGACUGCAGUGGAACAGUAUAAAAAUGAACGUUUGUUUUCUGAUGCAGCUGACACCGGAUGCGCCUCAGAGGCAUCUUUUCACCUUAAAGGACGGACUGUUUUUGGUGCAUAGCUGGAGCCCCCCAUAGCGGCUCUUACAAACGGGGCCACUCUCCCUAUUCACCGAGAGAGGGGAGAGCGCUGCUCGUGGAGGAGGAGAGGGGUUGGAGGGGAGGAGGAGGAGGAGGAGGAGGAGGGGGAGGAGGAGGGUGGGAUGGGGUUGGUGGGGUUGGGGUGGGGGGGCGAGCGAUGGAGGAAGGAGGGGAGGGUGGGAGAGGAGAAACGUGUAAUCACCCAAACAACCAUUUUUACCCAUUUCACCCCCUCUGGAUCUGUGUCGCAAGGUAAGAAAAAGGCUACUUGGCUUCUAUACUGGCCCUCUCUGCAUCAUAAACUACAUCGGCUGACUUCUGUAAGAACUCCUCUCCCCCUUUUCUCUCACACUCUGCAGUCUGCCGUGAGCUUAUCUGUCUUUCACUGCGGAUACCGUGAAGGGAGGCCGGACCGUGAGGGAGACGCCAAGAGGAGGAAGAGAAAAAUCAGACGCCCAGGAGGUACGGGAAAUCGCAUGCCAAAGACACAUUACUCCUGCACUCCAAUUUGCACGUUGGAUACCAGCGUUUCAUAUAGAUCUGAGCUGAGCUAAGUCGACGACUAUGUUUGUUCAUCCCAGAGCACUCUGCUUGAGAUUGCCAUUGCAGUUCUUCAACACAAUAAAUGAUAUGAGGAUACCAGCUGAAUCCCAAAUUUCACCAUUGGAAAUCGAUGUACUGUACCGUUUUUGUGAUGCCACUUUAGAACUUGUUAUCUGGUAAUUACAAUAAAUGAGCAGAAUUUCUUAAAAUGAAAAUGUGUGCUUUGUGAACAUGAAUUCUCACUAUGAUGUAUUAAUUGACAUAAGGCAGACUAGAAACAGGUAUUAGUCUGAAAUUGAAC
rnacentral:lncRNA from 15 species